AGGUCAAGUGGUGGACAUAGGACUAACAACUACAUCCUUACUGAAUUCUGAGAAGUUUCCUGUCAUAGUCCCGAAUUCAUUAUUUUCCAGUCAGGUAUCCAUUUGGUCAUGAGGAACUUGUUGUUUGUGAGGACAUUGAUCAAUUCAGACAUGGUGAUUUUGGACUCCAGAUUUUGCCUUUUGUAGAAAUUGUGGGUUUGGAUGCAAAUUAGAGCACAGAUUGCAAUUUUGCAGGCCCUAAAACAAGAUUCGAGGUGCCAUCAACAAUGUUAACAGAAUCCUCCAGGUCAGAUUAUUGAUUGGACCUGAUUUUAUUUAAAUGAUCUUGAUAAUCCAUUUUAUUUAAAUGAGCAGACCCGGAUGUGCGUCGGAGCUAUCCGGAUGUUGAGCGGGGGUCCCUGGAAGGUGGGAACCAUUGUUAUGACCAUGAUGAAGCUGUUCAUUUCCUAUGGACAACAUUGGAGUGGCCUGGCCAUUUGGA